GUUGGGGUUAAGGAUUAGGGUUAGGGAUUAGGGUUGGCGGUUAUGGUUGGGGUUUAGGGUUAGGUUUAGGGAUUAGGGGUUAUGGUUAGGGAUUAGGGGUAAGGUUUUGGUAGUAGGGUACUGUUUUAGGAGGGUGAGGUUUAGGGAUUAAGGUUAGCGGUUAUGGUUGGGGUUUAGGGUUAGGUUUAGGGAUCGGGAUUAUGGUUAGGGAUUAGGGGUAAGGUUUUGGUAGUAGGGUACUGUUUUAGGAGGGUGAGGUUUAGGGAUUAAGGUUAGCGGUUAUGGUUGGGGUUUAGGGUUAGGUUUAGGGAUCGGGAUUAUGGUUAGGGAUUAGGAGUUAGGUUUAGGGAAUAGGGUAGGGUUUUAGGAGGGUAAGGUUUAGGGGUUAGGGAUUAGGGUUAGGGUUAGAGCUGGCAGCAAUGGCAGCAUGGUGUGUGAAUUCUGGCUCUGACAGUUCCUCAACCUCGACUACAUCAUUUGAGUUAAAGAUGGACUGUUUUUGAAUCCCGCAGUUAUUAUUUUUGUUUGUCCCUGCCUGAGAGAGUUUUUUUUGUAAUGGAUUUUGUUGGUUCUAUUAUCCAAAGUAUAAGCAAACUAGUAGCCUAAUUUAAACUAGCAUGACCCUGACCAGGCGUUCACUAAGGAUGAAUGAAAUGCAUUGCACAACGCCACACAUUCAUUUUAAUGAGCACGGACUUGAUUUUUUGCCGUGAGGGUAUAUCAUACCUGACAGCUUGGCUUUGUGUUGCAUCCUGCAGGAUCCCAGUCCUGAUACACACCUCUACUAGUCUCAACUCUGUGAAACUUUCUGGCAAGCUUUAAAACAUAAAAAUGAAGAAAAAAUACUCUG
ensembl:lncRNA